UACGUAGGGUGCAAGCGUUGUCCGGAAUUAUUGGGCGUAAAGAGCGUGUAGGCGGCCCGGUAAGUCCGCUGUGAAAGUCCAGGGCUCAACCCUGGGAUGCCGGUGGAUACUGGCGGGCUAGAGGUCGAUAGGGGUGAGCGGAACUCCAGGUGGAGCGGUGAAAUGCGUAGAUAUCUGGAGGAACACCGGUGGCGAAAGCGGCUCACUGGAUCGAAACUGACGCUGAGGUGCGAAAGCUAGGGUAGCAAACGGG
rnacentral:rRNA from 1 species